rnacentral:rRNA from 1 species
CUACGUGCCAGCAGCCGCGGUAAUACGGAGGAUACGAGCGUUAUCCGGAAUUAUUGGGUUUAAAGGGUGCGUAGGUGGCGUAUUAAGUCAGUGGUGAAAAGCUGCAGCUCAACUGUAGUCUUGCCGUUGAAACUGAUAUGCUAGAGAGGAGACGAGGUAUGCGGAAUGUGUGGUGUAGCGGUGAAAUGCAUAGAUAUCACACAGAACGCCGAUUGCGAAGGCAGCGUACCAGGCUCCGUCUGACACUGAAGCACGAAAGCGUGGGGAUCAAACAGGAUUAGAUACCCUGGUAGUCCACGCAGUAAACGAUGAAUACUAGAUUUUUGCGAUAUAGUGUAAGAGUCUAAGCGAAAGCGAUAAGUAUUCCMCCUGGGGAGUACGCCGGCAACGGUGAAACUCAAAGGAAUUGACGGGGGCCCGCACAAGCGGAGGAACAUGUGGUUUAAUUCGAUGAUACGCGAGGAACCUUACCCGGGAUUGAA